GGAUGCGGUCAUACCAGCACUAAAGCACCGGAUCCCAUCAGAACUCCGUAGUUAAGCGUGCUUGGGCGAGAGUAGUACUAGGAUGGGUGACCUCCUGGGAAGUCCUCGUGUUGCAUUCC
rnacentral:rRNA from 1 species